rnacentral:rRNA from 1 species
UACGUAGGGUGCGAGCGUUGUCCGGAAUUACUGGGCGUAAAGAGCUCGUAGGUGGUUUGUCGCGUUGUUCGUGAAAACCUGAGGCUUAACCUUGGGCGUGCGGGCGAUACGGGCAGACUGGAGUACUGCAGGGGAGACUGGAAUUCCUGGUGUAGCGGUGAAAUGCGCAGAUAUCAGGAGGAACACCUAUGGCGAAGGCAGCUCGCUGGGACGGUACUGACGCUGAGGCGCGAAAGCGUGGGGAGCGAACAGG